AAAAAAAAAAAAAAAAACUUUUUCUUGGAAAAAUCAUAGCCUGACAAAUUUCCAAUUAAAUAAUUCGUCCGGAUUGACACGAAAGGGCAAACAUCAUCUUAAAUUUUAAACAAUGAAUCUCACUAUAAAAACCGUAACAAAGCAAACUACAACAUCAACUAUUUCAUCAUCCUUUGCCACUACCACCACAAUUUAAUAAACAAAUAUUACACUACCUUAUAACACAUAGGCUUAAUUACUCUUUUGAUCCCUUAACUUAUUUUUUGGUUUCGUUUUGGUUCCUUAACUAUUAAAAGUUUUGUUUCGGUCCCAUAACUUAUUUUUUGGUUUUAUUUUGGUCCCUUAACUAUUAAAAUUUUCGUUUUGGUCCUUUAACUUACUUUUUGGUUUCGUUUUGGUCCCUUAACUUAUUUUUUAGUUUAAUUUUGGUCCCUUAACUCUAAUACAUUCAUCCUAACAUAAAGGACCAAAGUGGUUGACAGAGGAUGAGUUAAGGGACCAAAACAAAACCAAAAAGUAAGUUAAAGGACCAAAACGAAACUUUUAAUAGUUAAGGGACCAAAACGAAACCAAAAAGUAAGUUAAGGGACCAAAACGAAACUUUUAAUAGUUAAGGUACCAAAACGAAACCAAAAAAUAAGUUAAGGGACCAAAAGAGUAAUUAAGCCUAACACAUAACAUGGAAGAGAACAAGAAAACUAUGGAGAAAAGUGUUGGUUUCACAGAAGAGCAAGAUGCUCUAGUGGUAAAAUCAUGGAAUGCAAUGAAGAAAAAUUCUGGGGACCUGAGUCUCAAGUUUUUC
rnacentral:lncRNA from 1 species